ensembl:rRNA 5S_rRNA 5S ribosomal RNA
GUCUACAGCCAUACUACCCUGAAUGUGCCAUCUCGUCUGAUCUCAAAAGUUAAGCAGGAUCAGGCCUGGUUAGUACUUGAAUGGGAGAAGUGAAAUAAAUUUUGAUACAGAAAUAUCAGUAUAUUUAGAAU